rnacentral:rRNA from 1 species
UACGAAGGGGGCUAGCGUUGCUCGGAAUUACUGGGCGUAAAGCGCAUGUAGGCGGCAGCGCAAGUCGGGCGUGAAAUCCCACGGCUCAACCGUGGAAGUGCACUCGAAACUGCGCAGCUAGAGUCCUGGAGAGGAAGGUGGAAUGCUUCGGGUGUAGGAGUGAAAUUGUAGAUAUCAAGCCGGAACACCGGUGGCGAAGGCGGCCUUGACUCGGACGAC